UCCAAACUUUCGCGCUCGGGCUCGGUGACGUCUGAAAAACUCUGGCGCCCACGCUUUUGUCCAAGUGUUUCGCGCUCGGUCCAAGACUUAAUAUUUUCAAAUGAAAAUGAGAAGAGAGAUUCUACCAACCAGCACCCAACCCAACCCAAAACAGCCCUCGCACACUCUAUCUUCUUCCUCCUCCCCCGAUUCCACCCAACGAGCCGCCGGCAACCUCCUCUCCUCCAGCCACCGUCGGCGCCCUCCACCCUCUCCUUCUCUCCUAGUCUCCGCGUCCAACCUCGUCAGCUUCCCCUCCUCGCGCCCGAAACCCUAGCCCGCGUCCACGGCAACCAAUCUCUGGAUCCGCAUCGCAGGAUGCCGCCGGAUCCGGGAACAGGGCAUCGCACCCUGCAGCCGCCGUUCGGGUCGAGCGGGGCGGCGGCGAACGCCGGUGCUCCUCUGCUUCCUCGACCUCCAAGGACGCAGGCCCCGGAUUCGUGCUCGCCUUCUUCCUCCACCAGCCUUGGUGCCCAAUUCCCUACAGCCGCCGUCGCCGUCGUGGAUUCCCAAGGCGAGGAGCAUGAGGACCGAGCUCGAGCGCGACCACGACGCAGCGCACAAGGUCCCUGUUUCCUGCACAAGUAUACACAGCACCUUGCUUGGUUGGGGAGCAGCAACAUCAAGGCUGUUGAACAAACAACAAUAUCGAGACGUUGAACAAAUAGCAACAUCUGUUGCUGAUAGCGUACUGAGGUGUUUCAGCACCAACGCUUGGAUGACCAACGAGGAACAAGCAAUGGCGGUGUCUGCCGAUUUGCCGCCUCAACAAGGUCUCGUUCCUCCCUGGUUUGCGCAAGCUUCGUCAGGCAACUGCAGAUCCCGUACGACCAUGGCCCACACCCCUGAAGCUUCCCCUGUCCGCAACAACUUCUGGAUCAAAGGAUUGUUGCUUAAUCCCAGGCUGCUCUACCUUGAAGGAAAAGGGGUCGUCCUUGAGAUCAUAUAGAUGGCGCAAGGACAAUGGUCAUUGUGGUGGCUGAGGAUGCUGUCCAAGAUCUUAUCGUGUGAAGCAUGAAUUUUGUGGACCUCACCAUCCCUUCCUAGGUUUGGCUGCUGAUCGGGAACCAGCCAUUGGUGUACCUCAAUAAGGUCACAGACGGCUCCAUGGGCGAGUCGCCGCCAAGCUUGAGUCCAUGGAGCCCUGCUCCAGCCUCAAGGAGAGGUGAGGAGAAGGGGUUCAUCGAGCCAGGCAAGGUGCGCGGUGGUAGGCUCGGUCUCCAGCCUCAGCGUCUUCUGUUGGUCCCUUUGCCAUGUGGCGCCGACGAUGUUGUUCGGAGUCGGCUACAAAACUGGCAUGGAUGGUGAGAAGAAAUAUGAGCUAGAGAUGGUGCACCCACAAUCAUUGGGUAAGGUCGUUUUUGAUCUUCCGGAGGGCAGAGCGGGGCGAGAAGAGUCUUGAUGGAGCUUGGAGGUUUGGCUUUUUAUCCAAUGUAUGAACUGAUGGAUCAUCCUCUGGGUUAUGCUUCCUGAAUAGCGAAGAGCUAAUCAUCCUGGUGAUUGGUCAAAUAAAAGUUCAUCUUGUUUCAGUUGCCCCUGUAGUGAUAGGGAUGCAGUGUGAUGUUGAAAAAGGCCACAGCUGUUGAUCGGGAACCAGCCAUUGGUGUACCUCAAUAAGGUCACCAACGGCUGCAUGGGCGAGUCGCCGCAAAGCUUGAGUCCAUGGAGCCCUGCUCCAGCCUCAAGGAGAGGAGAAAUGGUUCAUCGAGCCAGGCAAGGUGCGCGGUGGUAGGCUCGGUCUCCAGCCUCAGCGUCUUCUGUCGGCCCCUUUGCCAUGUGGCGCCGGCGGUGCUGUUCGAAGUCGGCUACAAAACUGGCAUGGAAGCACGACAGGUCGCGUAAAGAGGAGGAAAAGAAAGCUGAGUGCUCAACUUGUUUAGAGGACUAGCCUUUCUUCUUCCUUGAAAGAAACGUUGAAAGGUAAGACAUGACAGCGGCAAGCAUAGAUAGGCAUUGGAGAUGUUUUUUUCUUUCUCUAGUCCAUUUACUGAAUGGGGUGGUGCUUUAUUUCUUCCAGAGGAGAAGAUGUGCUGAAACUAGAUGUAAAGAUGCAUGACCCUUUCUUUGAUUUCGUCUACGCGCUUGAUUCUGAAGUAGGAUGAUCAAAUUUAGAUGGUAUUUACUUUUUUUUGUAGGGCAAGUAUAAUGUUUGCCAAGUCAAUCAAUAUAUAUUGACAUGCUCCCUGGGAUGAGAUGGCAAACCAUUUAGAUCAAGCCAUUUUAGUUUGCUGCAUUCAAAUUCCAAACCAAUUAAUGUCCACUUUUAGUUUAAGCCAUGAGAUGAUGGCAAACCAACUCAGUUUGCUGCACUUGGUUGUAGAAAUGUCACUCACUGUUCCAGAUUAUUACUUGAGGUUAUAUAUGCUAUACGUAUAAACUAUGCUAGUGUUU